rnacentral:rRNA from 1 species
UUAAUACCGGAUAUGACCUCUCGUCUCCAUGGACCGGGGGUGGAAAGUUUUUCGGGCCAGGGUGGGGCUCGCGGCCUAUCAGCUUGUUGGAGGGGUAACGGGCCCACCAAGGCGACGACGGGUAGCCGGCCUUGAGAGGGCGACCGGCCACACUGGGACUGAGACACGGCCCAGACUCCUACGGGAGGCAGCAGUGGGGAAUAUUGCGCAAUGGGCGGAAGCCUGACGCAGCGACGCCGCGUGGGGGAUGAAGGCCUUCGGGUUGUAAACCUCUUUCACCAGGGACGAAGCGUAACCUGACGGUACCUGCAGAAGAAGCGCCGGCUAAACUACGUGCCAGCAGCCGCGGUAAUACGUAGGGCGCAAGCGUUGUCCGGAUUUAUUGGGCGUAAAGAGCUCGUAGGCGGCCUGUCGCGUCUGCUGUGAAAUCCCGGGGCUUAACCCCUGGGCGUGCAGUGGAUACGGGCUGGCUGGAGGCAGGCAGGGGAGAAUGGAAUUCCCGGUGUAGCGGUGAAAUGCGCAGAUAUCGGGAGGAACACCGGUGGCGAAGGCGGUUCUCUGGGCCUGUUCUGACGCUGAGGAGCGAAAGCGUGGGGAGCGAACA